ensembl:snoRNA SNORA74 Small nucleolar RNA SNORA74
UCCAGCAGUUGUCAGCUAUCCGGGCUAGUGUGGUGCCUGUGAUUGUGUUACACUGUUGGAAGAGCAAGCACUGACUUUGUUGAGGUUGGCUCCACACGCUGUUUUGGUGUUGUGGUGUAGUGCCUUUGAGCAGUGUUUUGUACCUCUGAGAGUGGACUGCCUUCUGCUGUGGAGGUGGUCCUAGUCUGGGUACAAACAUU